CUACGGGGCGCACCAGUGGGGAAUAUUGCACAAUGGAGGAAACUCUGAUGCAGCAACGCCGCGUGGAGGAUGACACUUUUCGGAGCGUAAACUCCUUUUAUAUAGGAAGAAGAUGACGGUACUAUAUGAAUAAGCGCCGGCUAACUCCGUGCCAGCAGCCGCGGUAAUACGGAGGGCGCAAGCGUUACUCGGAAUCACUGGGCGUAAAGAGCGUGUAGGCGAAUUAAAAGUCAGAAGUGAAAUCCUAUAGCUUAACUAUAGAACUGCUUCUGAAACUCUUAAUCUAGAAUAUGGGAGAGGUAGAUGGAAUUUCUGGUGUAGGGGUAAAAUCCGUAGAGAUCAGAAGGAAUACCGAUUGCGAAGGCGAUCUACUAGAACAUUAUUGACGCUGAGACGCGAAAGCGUGGGGAGCAAACAGGAUUAGAUACCCGAGUAGUC
rnacentral:rRNA from 1 species